rnacentral:lncRNA from 10 species
UAUGUUAUUGACUUUGGUAUCAGUCAGAGGACAGAGCUAGGAAAUGAUAAAGAAGAUGAAGAUAUGACAAGAAUACUGUUAUAGAAGGCUGAAAAAGUAGUAACCCAGGUCUUACACUGCCAAAACAAUUUCAAAAUUAUCAAAGUCAAUAACUUGAAAUAUAGAAAAUGUACCUAAUGAACUUUCGUACUUCUCCUUUGGGCCUAUUUUAUGUGGGCAGUGGUGCCAUUCAUGAGUGCGGCACUAACCAUCUCCCAAAGUCUUGGACUUUCCCUAAGAACUAAUUUCCUCUGGCUUUCUCAUAAUGUGAGAAAAAUGAGCCCCUAUUUACUGAAGCUAUUUUAGUUGGGUUUCUGGUACAUCUACUCAAACAUAAUUCAAAGUGAUACAAAGAGUUUUACUGAUACAAAGGGUUUGUAAAGGUGCUUCCAUUACAGGCCACUGUAAUGGAACUUAAAGCACAAAUUCUGUUUAGCUAUGUUGGUUAAAGCAUUAAGCUACUGGUGUUGCAUGAAAUUGAAUCUUUAAAAAAAUAGCAUCAUGCUGAGAAAUGUUAUGCAAAAUAGAAAUUAUAGAUUAACUCUUGUUAUCCUUUCUUGUAAUUGUUCACAAGGGGACUAAAUAUCAGGGAGUGAAUGCUCAGUGAAUAUCCAUAAAUGGGUAAAGGUGUAAGUGCAUUGUAUUAAUAAUUCUGUGGCAAUAGCACUUCUUUAA